rnacentral:lncRNA from 1 species
UAUCUAUCUAUUUUUUUUUUUAUUCUUUUCAUUCUUUUGGUUUUUUCACCCGUUUUAUUUUUUUCAUUUUUUUAUUUUUCAGAUAUGUUCCAUACUAAACGAAAUAAGCAAAAAUAUCCGAGAAAUACAAAAUGCGAAAAACUUCCUAUCGUUACACUUUUUUCUUUUAAAGGAUGAGGAUGAUGCAGUAAGUAUAUACAUACGUAAUUACGUACAUGCAUACAUACACUCAUAUUAUAUAUAUAUAUAUAUAUAUAUAUAUAUACAUACGGAUAUAUUUAUUGUUCAUUCCUUUCCUUACUAUUGCAUAGCUUUUUUCAGUCAUGCACAUAAUCGAUUUUUUUAAAAGCAAGAAUAAAUUAGUAGAAACGUUACAAAAUAUAAAAGACAAAAUAUAUGAAGAAUGUAUUAACGAUAUCAUCAGAAAGAAAAUUGAAAACUAUAUUUUAUUUUGCAAACAAAAAAAACAAAAAUAUGAAAUAAAAAAUGUUUUAAAGUUUUUGAAUAUAAACAACGUAACAGAUGAUUUAUAUUUUAAUUAUAAUUAUAACGACUUAAUAAAAGUUUUCAAAAAAAAAGUGGAAGAGAUAAAGAGUGGUAGACUGGGUAGCAUUAGUUCUAGUCCCUUGUUGUCGAGUAAUAUGGAUACGUCACUUUUUGACAGAAUGGGAGAAUCGAUGGGUGGUAAUGAAAACGAUUAUACAGAUACUAACACAGAAACUGGUACUACCACUAGCACUACCACUAGCACUACUACUGACACUACUACUGGCACUACUACUGACACUACUACUGACACUACUACUGGCACUACUACUGGCUCCGAUACCGAUACCGAUGACAUAGACAUCGAAAACAAUGACAAUUUAAAAGAAUUAAAAAAAACGUAUAAAGAGCUACAAAAUUUCAAUGAAUCUAUUAUUCAAUUUAUUGAAUCUGAACCCCAAUUAUAUCAUUUUGAUGAUGAUGAUAAUAAUAAUAAUAAUAGUGGUAGUAAUAUAAAAAGUAGCAAAUAUAUAAGUAAUGCGAAAGAUGCACUAGAACAACAACAAAAAGAACAAAAACAAAGUAAGAUAUAUGAUGAAGAAGUUAUAGCUAUGCGAAAGGAUAUAGAUAACUAUAUAGAAAAAUAUAAAAGUGAACAUAAUUCAAAUUUAGAUGAACUUAAAAAUGAAUUUUUAAAUCAAGCUGAUAUGAAUUUUAUUAAGUUUUUGAAUAGUUUCUCACUUAGUGAAGAUAUUAAUGGACAACAAGGUAAAAGAGAGAUAGAUAUGACGAGCGAGUUAAACAAAAUAGACAACACGGUUACACAACAAGAAGAUAAAAACAUCAUGUCACAUUAUAAUGAAAUAAAAAAAUUCCAAUUAAAGAAAUUGAAUACAAGUGAAGAAGAUAUAGAUAUAACUAAUAAUAUAAUUUAUGAAAGGUUAAGAAAAAAAUUGUUAUAUUAUAUUCAAAAGAUGGAGUAUAUAAAAUUUAAGUAUCAAAAUGAUAUAAUAAAGGAAAUGUAUCCAUUGAAUAAAAGUGAAAAAACUGUUUUAGACUUGUUAAAAUAUGGUUAUAAAACUGUUGUUUCACCGGAUGUUGAUAAUUCUAUAUUUCAAAAAAAUGGUGAACGCGAUCGUGAUGCUGAUCGACAGUAUGAUCCCAUGCACGAACAAGAGCGAGAUCACAUACAUGAAUACAAACGCGAACAAAAUAAAGUAGCAAACGCUUCUAGUCAUAACAGAAGUAAAAAAAAAAAAAAAAAAAAAAAAAAAAAAAAAAAAAACGCAGUACUCAACUCAGUUUGUACACGUGCCUAUGCCUGCUUACAUCUGCUUUUUUUUUUUUUUUUUUUUUUUUAAUUAAAACUUCAUUUUUCUCGAUUUUGUAUACGGAUACAUGUUCAUAAUUCAUACGCGAUAUGUUGCAUCUUCUUCGUCGUUAUUAUUAGAUAUAGUAUAUAGUCACAUUCUUUCCAUUUCUUUUGCUUGUUUUGUUUGUUUUUGUAGAAAAAUAUUUUGAUUUCAAGUGUCUAAAGUGUGAUUAUCAUAUUUUUAAUUCAGGUAAAUACAUGUUGUUACAUAUGUUAGUUGAUACGCCCUCACACAUAUAUAUAUAUAUAUAUACAUACCCCCGCACAUAUACAUAUUUAUGUACGCAUCUUUAGGUGAUAAUUUGUACGAACGGAUGAAGGAGUGUCCCCAAUGUAAAAGUCAAAUUUGACGUAACAGGUCCAUCCUACUUAUAUCCUACUUCCCCUUCUUUUUUUUUUUUUAAAUCCACUUAUUUUUUUUUGCUUUUUUUUUUUUUUAUUUUUUAUUUUAUUUUUUAUUUUUUUUUUUUGAGUAAAAUUCUUAUUUAAUUUAUAAUUGCAUUUUUGAAUAUCAAAGCAAUGAAUGACGUCAUAAAUGGCGAACGUAACACAUACAUGUAUUAUGUAUACAUCCUGACAUCCUUCCCCCCCCCCCCUUCACCUUCAAUAAAUCCACAAAAACGACUCUUCGACUUACGAAC